CCGUGGUGGCAUAUCUGGUGGUUCAGC
rnacentral:piRNA from 1 species